AUUAAUUUAAAAUUGCGGGAAUAUAAUGAACUGCGUUCCAAAACAAAUGAGUUGUCAACGAAGAUUAGUGAACGCCAAGUAAAUAAUUUUACAAAAUGUUCGAUACCGGUGAUACCUUGGCUCUACUUAUAGGCCUAAUUAUCACAACUUUAGGUGUGUUGGCCUGUUUGGGAGCAUAUGCCAGGAGAAAAGCUUUAACAGAACCAAUAUGAUUUCAUAAUCUUUUGUUUAUAGGUUAAGACUUAACAAUUAUGGAACACUCCAAUAUUAUUUUGUAAUAUAAAUAUCAAUAAAAUUACUCAAAUAAAUGACUAUUUACUUA